UCCCUGAUGGUCCAGUGGCUAAGAUGCUGCCCUCCCAAUGCAGGAGACCUGCGUUCGAUUCCUGAUCAGGGAA
rnacentral:tRNA from 1 species